CGCUGCGUGGUUGAGCCGCAUUUGGGGCUGCGCCGUGUCGCCCGCCUCCUCCACCAUCCCUGAUCGGGCGGGUCGCCCGGACGCGAGUGAGAGAAGCCUAGCGCGGAGCGUGGGAGAAGACGAACGAGACAGGAUGAAAUGCUGCUGUCAAAACGUUCAGGUGGCUCCGCCGCGGUACCUACGCGCGAGUGAGAGAGACAGGAUGAAGUGCUUUAUGUUUUAUGGUUUUGUCUGGGGAUGUCAAGCUUUUAACUGUCUUGGAUACAGUCAGAAGGGGAAUAAGAGCUGGUGCAGACUAUGAAU
rnacentral:lncRNA from 7 species